rnacentral:rRNA from 1 species
UACGGGGGGGGUAAGCGUUGUUCGGAAUUACUGGGCGUAAAGGGCUCGUAGGCGGCCAACUAAGUCAUACGUGAAAUCCCUCAGCUUAACUGGGGAACUGCGUGUGAUACUGGAUGGCUUGGAUUUGGGAGAGGGAUGCGGAAUUCCAGGUGUAGCGGUGAAAUGCGUAGAUAUCUGGAGGAACACCGGAGGCGAAGGCGAAUCACUGGACCGCUUCUGACGCUGAGGCGCGAAAGCUAGGGGAGCAAACAGG